rnacentral:rRNA from 1 species
UACGGAGGAUCCAAGCGUUAUCCGGAUUCAUUGGGUUUAAAGGGUGCGUAGGCGGAAUGAUAAGUCAGUGGUGAAAGCCUGUUGCUUAACAACAGAACUGCCAUUGAUACUGUCAAUCUUGAGUACAUUUGAUGUGGGCGGAAUGUGUCAUGUAGCGGUGAAAUGCUUAGAUAUGACACAGAACACCGAUUGCGAAGGCAGCUCACAAAACUGUAACUGACGCUGAGGCACGAAAGCGUGGGGAGCAAACAGG